rfam:Oryza meridionalis cultivar OR44 (W2112) chromosome 2, whole genome shotgun sequence.
UCCCAGAAAGAUAGUAGUACUAUAUUUCCAACGUUUGAUCGUUUGUCUUAUUUAAAAAAAAUAUGAUGAGUAUUUUUAUUGUUAUCAGAUGAUGAAACAUUAAUAGUACUUUACGUGUGACUAUCUUUUUAUUUUUUUAAAUAAGACGAAUGGUCAAACGUUGAACACGAACAUCUACAACUGCACUUAAA